GGCCCUUGUGAUGUAGUGGCAGCUUGCCGUUUUGGUAUGACGGACGCGCGGGUUCGAUUCCCGCCGAGGGCUU
rnacentral:tRNA from 1 species